rnacentral:rRNA from 1 species
CUUUUUGGACCGAUCGCUGAUGGAGGGGUGCUGGGAUGCGGGCACAUUACACUGGAAACAGCCGGGCUUCUUCUAGGCGAACGGUCCCUCUGCAGGUUCUACUAGCCAAGAACAAGACCAGCAUGAAGGUCAACCCAAAGAGGAUGGGCACGAUCUACGCUGCAAAUUCUCUGUUUUCAGUUGUUGGCAAGGCACACAUUUGGAGGAAUUCUCAGCUCGACGCGCUGACAGGGCUGCAGGUUUACUACACACAGGUUCAGAAGCGCAGAUAGUGUUCAGAGAAGGGAAUUGUAGAGCCGACAGUGUCCAUUCUCUCCGUGGUGACGUCAACUUCACCGUGGACGCUCACUUUCCUCAUCCGUUUUCUUUUCUUCAGUGGCGUAACACAAGUCAGAAACGAUAGCUUUCCAACACAGGACAACAGUACCGCACCCUGGUUUUGUCAGAUGUGUACUGUCAAGCUGUCAUCCUUUUAUGCGUGUAUAUCUAUCUUUUCGAGGAGACUAGGAAUUUGCUAGAAGACUGGAACUUCUGUAUUUGGUUUCUGUGGAAGUUGAUAGAGCAACACAUUUACAACGG